UCCCUGGAGGACUAGUGGUUAGGCCACAGCGCUCUCACCGCCGCGGCCCGGAUCGAUUACCGGCCAGGGAA